rfam:Neotoma lepida isolate 417 scaffold_375, whole genome shotgun sequence.
GGUGUAGCUCUGUAGUAGGGCAUGUGUUUUGCACACACAAGGCCCUGGGUCCAAUCUCCAGUACC